GCUGUUUUGGCGGCACGUGGGGGACCUACACAAUAUUAGGUUUGCUGAAAUGACUUUGGUGGGAGGUGUUUUUACCCCACAGCAUCUACAGUCAACAUUCCCUCACGUCAGGGCUGGAACAGGAUAUAAGGAGUCCUAUCACGAGGUUACCAGAACUGGCCAGAUCCAGCUCCACUCCUGCUUGACAUGGACUCCACUACUACGUGUCUCUUAAAUGCAGCUGGUGCAAGCCAGACAUCACUUCAGUCUAUUACGAUGGACCUCAGCGGAUGAACAGAUGCCAACUCCAA